UGGGUUGUGGCUCAGUGGUAGAGCGCCCACCUAGUGUGUGAGACCCUGGGUUUGAUUCUCAGCACCACAU
rnacentral:tRNA from 1 species